rnacentral:rRNA from 1 species
UUUCCGGUUGAUCCCGCCGGAGGCCACUGCUAUGGGGGUCCGACUAAGCCAUGCGAGUCAUGGGGCGCGCUCUGCGCGCACCGGCGGACGGCUCAGUAACACGUCGGUAACCUACCCUCGGGAGGGGGAUAACCCCGGGAAACUGGGGCUAAUCCCCCAUAGGCCUGAGGUACUGGAAGGUCCCCAGGCCGAAAGGGGCUUCGCCCGCCCGAGGAUGGGCCGGCGGCCGAUUAGGUAGUUGGUGGGGUAACGGCCCACCAAGCCGAAGAUCGGUACGGGCCAUGAGAGUGGGAGCCCGGAGAUGGACACUGAGACACGGGUCCAGGCCCUACGGGGCGCAGCAGGCGCGAAACCUCCGCAAUGCGGGCAACCGCGACGGGGGGACCCCCAGUGCCGUGGCACAGCCACGGCUUUUCCGGAGUGUAAAAAGCUCCGGGAAUAAGGGCUGGGCAAGGCCGGUGGCAGCCGCCGCGGUAAUACCGGCGGCCCGAGUGGUGGCCGCUAUUAUUGGGCCUAAAGCGUCCGUAGCCGGGCCUGUAAGUCCCUGGCGAAAUCCCACGGCUCAACCGUGGGGCUUGCUGGGGAUACUGCAGGCCUUGGGACCGGGAGAGGCCGGGGGUACUCCUGGGGUAGGGGUGAAAUCCUAUAAUCCCAGGAGGACCGCCAGUGGCGAAGGCGCCCGGCUGGAACGGGUCCGACGGUGAGGGACGAAGGCCAGGGGAGCGAACCGGAUUAGAUACCCGGGUAGUCCUGGCUGUAAAGGAUGCGGGCUAGGUGUCGGGCGAGCUUCGAGCUCGCCCGGUGCCGAAGGGAAGCCGUUAAGCCCGCCGCCUGGGGAGUACGGCCGCAAGGCUGAAACUUAAAGGAAUUGGCGGGGGAGCACUACAAGGGGUGGAGCGUGCGGUUUAAUUGGAUUCAACGCCGGGA